CUGGCUGUAGGCAUAUGAUUCCUGUGCUUUUGGCCUUGUGCCAUUCAAUACUAACGGUAGAAGUCCCCUGAGAAUUAAAUACAAAUUGCAGGACAUGGAAAGGAAAUAAAUUAGUGUGGCUUCAUUUUAAUGUCACAGAGAAGGCAGAGUCAACUUGCAUGUACAUGUAUUAUUGUUAUACAGUUUACAGUACUGUAAUUGUUCAAGUGUUUCCUGUUGUUUCUCUAGGGAGCAGAGGGAGAAACGGGGAUUCAAGGGUUACCUUGUGACCAAGGACUGCCGGGUGGUUCAAAGGUAAUGAAUUGCAAAAUGAUGCUCACUUAUCAACUAUAUUACAAAAGUAACUUAACUCUGUAGAGUAUGGCUUUUUUGGUUGAUUAAUUGUUAGUAUCAUAAUAUGUCAUAUUAAUAGUCAUAUUAUGACUGACUGUAGGUAACAUGUCUUCCAUUGUUUUCUGGGGGAAACUGGAGAGCCCAGUCCCAAAGGAAGCCAAGUAUAAAACAACACAUAGUCCUUUUGCUUUUUAGAUGUGUUCAUGACUUAUAUUUUAAGAAACAGCAGUUAAUGGUGUUUUCAUUUUUCAUCGUCACCCUCCCUUUCUCUUUCUCUAGGGUGAGAGGGGGAAUGAUGGUGUGCCUGAGACCCCUGGGACAAGCGUAUGUAACUUUUCCCCACACUCGACUCUACUUGAGGGGCAUGCAUUACUCGUAACUGAUAUAGAUGUUCACACUGCCUUUUUAGACUCUGUUUUCAUGUUUUUCCAUGUCAUUGCCGCUCUGUAGGGUGAAACUGGGCUCAGAGGCAGAAAAGGAGAGGGGAAGCCACCAACUGAUGACCACACUUGAUGAAGCUUUGUGCUAAUGUACUUCUGAGUCUACAGGCUGCUCGUUAUGGCGCACACCUGUCACCAUCGUUACGCGCACCUGCACGUCGUCAGACUCACCUGGACUCCAUCACUUCGUUGAUUACCUGCCCUAUAUAUGUCCCUCCCUUUGGUACCAUUCCCCAGGUUUCAUUGUUUCUGUUUCAUGUCUGUGUGUUGUUCGAGGUUCUUGUUUUGUAUUAUGUUCUGUUUAUUUUCUUAAAACAGUUUUUUGUUUUUUUUGGUCAGGCUCCCCUGCCUCAGCCGGCUCGACAGGCUCCCCUGCCUCAGCCGGCUCGACAGGCUCCCCUGCCUCAGCCGGCUCGACAGGCUCCCCUGCCUCAGCCGGCUUGUCGGGCUUUCAUGCCUUUGCCAGAUCCCCUGCGUCCACUGACUCGUCAGGCUCUCAUACCUCAACCGGAUCGCCAGGCUCCCCUGCCUCAGCCGGUCUGGCAGGUUCCCUCGUCCCAGCCGGCGACAGGUUCCUGCGCAUCAGCGGGGGUGACCGGUCCGCCCCUGAUCCCCAGGAUCGUCCCUUGGGUUGGCAUCCUGCGGCUGGUGCCAAACACGCCCGGGAGGGGGUACCGUCAGUUAUGCUCUCUCUCCGGCACUCUAGGUCGCCAUGCUCCUGCGUCUCAGCCGGAUAGAGUUUCCUGUGCCUCUGCAGAGGUGUCCGGUCCGCUCCUGUUCUCCGGGAUAGUCACUUUGGGUGGCGUUCUGCAGCUGGAGCCGCGCGUCGGGAAGGGGAUACUGUCAUGUGUGCUCCCUCUCCGACCUCACCAGGCUGCUCGUUAAGGCGCACACCUGUCACCAUCGUUACGCGCAUCGUCAGACUCACCUGGACUCCAUCACUUCGUUGAUUACCUGCCCUAUAUAUGUCCCUCCCUUUGGUUCCUUCCCCAGUCAUCAUUGUUUCUGUUUCAUGUGUGUGUGUUGUUCGAGGUUCUUGUUUUAUAUUAUGUUCUGUUUUAUUUUAUUAAAACACUCACUCCCUGAACUUGCUUCCCGACUCUAAGCGCACGUCGUUACUCACUCUCUCACACACAGUAUCUUCUGUUUUGCAUUUGAGUAUAUGCAAUGACCCCGUGCACAAUUGACAUACUUACAAAUGCGUCUUAAGAAGACAGUGAUCGUAAUUGCAAUGAGCCCAACAAUUGACAUAAAUACAGGAGUCUUGUAUAGGAGUGUAGUGUUUCUCCUGUUGGAACAUUUUUACAACCUAGUCGAUGACUGAUGGAUUUUAAAUGAACAAAAUAUGUUGGUUGGGUGACUAAACUACAUAACGUGUUAUCGUGUGCAAUGGGAGAGUCUGCAGACACACGGCGCUUACAGCAGCAGAACAACGUGUAGUGAUUUUACAAGAGUAGGUAACACCAAAAGCUUCAGUUUACAUUAAUGACCAGCUAUUUGCUGUCAGAGCAGCUCACAGAUCACUGCAACUGUACAUAGCCCAUCUAUAAAUAGCCCAAACAACUACCUCUUCCCCUACUGUAUUUAUUUAUUUAGCUCCUUUGCACCCCAGUAUUUCAACUUUGCACACUCAUCUACUGUCAAAUCUACCAUUCCAGUGUUUAAUUGCUAUACUGUAUUUACUUCCCCACCAUGGCCUAUUUAUUGCCUUUACCUCCCUUAUCUCACCUAAUUUGCUCACUUAUUUUCUACUGUAUUAUUGACUGUAUGUUUGUUUUACUCCAUGUGUAACUCUGUUGUUAUAUGUGUCGAACUGCUUUGCUUUAUCUUGGCCAGGUCGCAGUUGUAAAUGAGAACUUGUUCUCAACUUGUCUACCUGGUUAAAUAAAGGUGAAAAAAGAAUAAUAUACAGAAAGUAUUCGGCCCCCUUGAACUUUUCGACCUUUUGCCACAUUUCAGGCUUCAAACAUAAAGAUAUAAAACUGUAUUUUUUUGUGAAGAAUCAACAACAAGUGGGACACAAUCAUGAAGUGGAACGACAUUUAUUGGAUAUUUCAAACUUUUUUAACAAAUCAAAAACUGAAAAAUUGGGCGUGCUUAAUUAUUCAGCCCCCUUAAGUUAAUACUUUGUAGCGCCACCUUUUACUGCGAUUACAGCUGUAAGUCGCUUGGGGUAUGUCUCUAUCAGUUUUGCACAUCGAGAGACUGAAAUUGUUUCCCAUUCCUCCUUGCAAAACAGCUCGAGCUCAGUGAGGUUGGAUGGAGAGCAUUUGUGAACAGCAGUUUUCAGUUCUUUCCACAGAUUCUCGAUUGGAUUCAGGUCUGGACUUUGACUUGGCCAUUCUAACACCUGGAUAUGUUUAUUUUUGAACCAUUCCAUUGUAGAUUUUGCUUUAUGUUUUGGAUCAUUGUCUUGUUGGAAGACAAAUCUCCAUCCCAGUCUCAGGUCUUUUGCAGACUCCAUCAGGUUUUCUUCCAGAAUGGUCCUGUAUUUGGCUCCAUCCAUCUUCCCAUCAAUUUUAACCAUCUUCCCUGUCCCUGCUGAAGAAAAGCAGGCCCAAACCAUGAUGCUGCCACCACCAUGGUUGACAGUGGGGAUGGUGUGUUCAGCUGUGUUGCUUUUACUGUCAUGUAUUGUCAUGUUGUGUCUUUCUGUCCUUUCCUUUCACCCUGUCUCCCUCUGCUGGUCGUAUUAGGUUACCUUUUCUCCCCCGCUUUCCCCCAGCUGUUCCUUGUCUCCUCCUAACUACCCAUUCACCCCGUUUCCCACCUGUUCCCUUUUUCCCUCUGAUUAGGUCCCUAUAUCUCUCUCUGUUUUUGUUCCUGUCCUUGUCGGAUUCUUGUUUGUUGUGUUUCAUGCCUGAACCAGACUAUCGUCAUGUUUGCUGUAACCUUGUCCUGUCCUGUCGGAAUCUGCCGGUCUGUCUGAACCUACCUGUGUUUGGUAAUUAAAGAAGCUCUGUUAAGUUAAUUCGCUUUUGGGUCCUCAUUCACUCACCGUGACAGAAGAAUCCGACCAAGAAUGGACCCAGCGACUUCGGAUCCUCUCCACUCAGCCGUCGAGAUCCAGGGAGCGAUGCUAGGCAGACACGAGCAGGAAUUGUCUGCUGCUCGACAUGCCGUUGAGACCCUGGCCACCCAAGUCUCCAACCUCACAGAACAGGUUCACCAUCUCCGCCUCGAUCCACCGGCCACUUCCAGGGCUUUCGAAUCUCCGGAGCCCAGAAUCAAUAACCCGCCGUGUUACUCUGGGGAGCCCACUGAAUGCCGCUCGUUCCUCACCCAGUGUGAUAUUGUGUUUUCUCUCCAGCCCAACACUUACGCCAGGAGCACUGCUCGUGUCGCCUACGUCAUAUCUCUCCUUACUGGACGGGCUCGUGAGUGGGGCACGGCAAUCUGGGAG
rnacentral:lncRNA from 13 species